GAUGAACGCUAGCGGCAGGCCUAACACAUGCAAGUCGAGGGAGAAGCCCUUCGGGGCAGAAACCGGCGCACGGGUGCGUAACGCGUAUGCAACCUACCUUCCACAGGGGGAUAGCCCGAAGAAAUUUGGAUUAAUACCCCAUAAUAUUAUUGGAUGGCAUCAUUUGAUAAUUAAAAUUACGAUGGUGAAAGAUGGGCAUGCGUCCUAUUAGCUAGUUGGAGUGGUAACGGCACCCCAAGGCUACGAUAGGUAGGGGUCCUGAGAGGGAGAUCCCCCACACUGGUACUGAGACAGGGACCAGACUCCUACGGGAGGCAGCAGUGAGGAAUAUUGGUCAAUGGUCGGAAGACUGAACCAGCCAUGCCGCGUGCAGGAAGAAUGCCUUAUGGGUUGUAAACUGCUUUUAUAUGGGAAGAAUAAGGCGUACGUGUACGUGAUGACGGUACCAUAUGAUAG
rnacentral:rRNA from 1 species